rnacentral:lncRNA from 1 species
AAGGGGAAGAAGAAGGAAGAAGGAAGAAAGAAGAAGGAAGAAGAAAGAAGAACAAGAACAAGAAGAAGAACAAGAAGAACAAGAACAAGAAGAACAAGAAAGAGGAGGAGGAGGAUACUGGAGGUUAAACUAGUUGGCUCAAUGAUGCUUUUUAAUGAUCAGUUGGAAGGAGAUUCAGAAGACUUCUGGUACUAUGCUGCCAUUUUAGCUCUGUCCCCAAAAGGUAAUGUUUUGUUUUUGUUUUUUUUUUAAAGAGAAAGAGAAUAUGUACACUUGAAACAGAAAAAUACACAGAGAUUUAAAAUCAGGGACCAGAGCAGAAUCUAACAUGUUUCAGUUGAAGUAAAAAAGAAGGCAGAGGUAAUAAUCAUUAUCUUAGACAAAGCAAAAGAAAUAUUUUUAAGGUACUCUUAGAGUAUUGAAGGAAGGUCAGAAGGAAACACACAAGAAGAACCAUUUUGAAAUGAAUAUAUUGAACUUAUUACAUACAAUCUUCUGUUUUCUGGUCUUUUUUGAACAUAGAAAUGUUUACUUUAGUUGUCAAACUCAUUAAAAAAAGGGGGAAGUAAAAUAAAAGUCAAUAUUCUUAUUUUACA